UUUCCGUAGGUGAACCUGCGGAAGGAUCAUUAAAAAAUGUGGUACCAAUUGUUGGUACUAAUUAAUCAUCCUACCCUUUGUGAAUUUGUUUGUAUGAAUUUUUUUAAAUGGGUCUUUCCCUAAGUUGGAUUGUUAGUAAAAUACAAAAAGACUUAGGGGAAUGACUUUUUUAAAAGACUUUUUUUUAAUUAAAACUUUUUGUAUUCAUUUGUCUAAAAUUUAUUUCUAUAAUAUAAAAACAACUUUUGACAAUGGAUCUCUUGGUUCUCGCAACGAUGAAGAACGCAGCAAAAUGCGAUAAGUAGUGUGAAUUGCAGAAUACGUGAAUCAUCGAAUCUUCGAACGCAUAUUGCACUUUUUUAGUUUACUAAAAAAGUAUGUCUGUUUGAGUAUCAGUAAAAUAUUCUCACAAACAUAUAUUGUUUGUGGUAUGAGUGUUUUACAACGAUAAACAAGUUGUUUCACUUUAAAUUCUUUUUAAUUGAAUUUUACUACCAAUUUACAAGUUAAAAUUGGAUAAAUUUUCCUUUAACGAGGAAUAACCUAAACAAUUUUAAAUUUUAUGGAUUAUUACAUUCAUAAAGGAAUCUAUACAAAAUAACUUGAUCUCAAAUCAGAUAAGAGUACCCGCUGAACUUAAGCAUAUCAAUAAGCGGAGGAAAAGAAACUAACAAGGAUUCCCUUAGUAACGGCGAGUGAAGCGGGAAGAGCUCAAAUUUGAAAUCUUCAAGGUUUGACCUUGACGAAUUGUAGUUUAUAGAAGUGUUUUCUGUUGGAGUUUUGGUAAAAGUUCUUUGGAAUAGGACAUCAUAGAGGGUGAGAAUCCCGUAUUUGACCAUGACUUUCCAGCUGUGUGAUACACUUUCAAAGAGUCGGAUUGUUUGGGAAUGCAGUCCAAAAUGGGUGGUAAAUUUCAUCUAAAGCUAAAUAUUGGCGAGAGACCGAUAGCGAACAAGUACCGUGAGGGAAAGAUGAAAAGAACUUUGAAAAGAGAGUUAAACAGUACGUGAAAUUGUCAAAAGGGAAGCGUUUGACACCAGUGUUGUUUUCUCGAAAAUCAAUUUAAUGGUUCUUGUUUUUAAGUUAUUGUGACUUUAUCAGCGCAUUUCUUAUUUUACUUGGCUCAUUGAAUGCACUUUUCGUUUAACAAGUCAACAUCAAUUUCUUUGGUGGUAAAAAGUUUAAAGGAAGGUGGCUUGGACUUCGGUUCAAGUGUUUAUAGCCUUUUUUCUAUGCCAUCGGAGAGAUUGAGGUCUGCAGCGUAGAUCCUUCGGGGUUAGAUACUUUGUGCUAAGUUAUAGUUUUUAUAGACAACUUGUUGACUAUAAUUAACCCUGUAAUUUACUCGCUUAGGCUAUUUUACCUACGCUUAGGAUGUUGAG
rnacentral:misc_RNA from 1 species